UUCGGGGGGGGCUCUCGAAGUCAUUGCUAUUGGGGUCCGAUUUAGCCAUGCUAGUUGCACGAGUUCAUACUCGUGGCGAAAAGCUCAGUAACACGUGGCCAAACUACCCUACAGAGAACGAUAACCUCGGGAAACUGAGGCUAAUAGUUCAUACGGGAGUCAUGCUGGAAUGCCGACUCCCCGAAACGCUCAGGCGCUGUAGGAUGUGGCUGCGGCCGAUUAGGUAGACGGUGGGGUAACGGCCCACCGUGCCGAUAAUCGGUACGGGUUGUGAGAGCAAGAGCCCGGAGACGGAAUCUGAGACAAGAUUCCGGGCCCUACGGGGCGCAGCAGGCGCGAAACCUUUACACUGCACGCAAGUGCGAUAAGGGGACACCCAAGUGCGAGGGCAUAUAGUCCUCGCUUUUCUCGACUGUAAGGGGUCGUGGAAUAAGAGCUGGGCAAGACCGGUGCCAGCCGCCGCGGUAAUACCGGCAGCUCAAGUGAUGACCGAUAUUAUUGGGCCUAAAGCGUCCGUAGCCGGCCACGAAGGUUCAUCGGGAAAUCCGCCAGCUCAACUGGCGGGCGUCCGGUGAAAACCACGUGGCUUGGGACCGGAAGGCUCGAGGGGUACGUCCGGGGUAGGAGUGAAAUCCCGUAAUCCUGGACGGACCACCGAUGGCGAAAGCACCUCGAGAAGACGGAUCCGACGGUGAGGGACGAAAGCUAGGGUCUCGAACCGGAUUAGAUACCCGGGUAGUCCUAGCUGUAAACGAUGCUCGCUAGGUGUGACACAGGCUACGAGCCUGUGUUGUGCCGUAGGGAAGCCGAGAAGCGAGCCGCCUGGGAAGUACGUCCGCAAGGAUGAAACUUAAAGGAAUUGGCGGGGGGAGCACUACAACCGGAGGAGCCUGCGGUUUAAUGAUCACCACCCCCCCCGGGAAAG
rnacentral:rRNA from 1 species